GGUUCCCGCUCCUUGCACCGACACCGCGGUACGGCCACUCGGAGUCUGAUGGUCCCCCGCACCCUGGUCUGUCACAGUAUAUAAACAAGUCAUUUACAGAUAGAGUAAAUGUGCUCAUCACGUAACCAACUAAUUGUACCACAAUUCCUGCAUACUACGCGCCUGCAGAUCAUUGUCUCGAUUGACCCGUCAUACAGAUGUGUAGGAGAAGUUGCCGCGGUCGCACGGCGCACUGCAAAGUACUGACGCCGCAACCAUUAUUCUAUCUUCAGAUGCCACGAACUUGUUUCCAAAAAUUACGGUGUGGCGAGGGAGCCUCCGUUCUCCAAUAUUAACAACAUACUCUACAGGAAGGUUAUUUUGCUGGCCAUUUGAGUGACGAACGGGGAGCAGGUUCGGAAUGGAAGGUGUCUGUACGAGUCUUAUAGAAAACAUUUGCUCCGCUCCGCUUCUACGACCACUUGUUCACAGCGCCGCGUGAGGUGACACACACCAGAAAUGGCUGACACCAGCACAAGUUUUUUUGUUGAACAAAGUAAUUCACAGUAGUGAGAUCAUUAAAAAAAUGUAUAAUCUACAGAUGUUUUCUGAACAGUCAGUAGAACGCCUGCUCGCGCGACCUUGAUUUGGCUGAGCACAUCAAGUGGCAACAAGUAAGGAGAUGCAGUUCUGUAGUCGGGGAAGACUGGAUGGAUGAGACAGUAACCUGGCUGAGAUCAGAACGCGGGUGACCGCAGAUUCAACGAGCCGUCAACCCAAAACGCUCUGUGAAUGAAGUGUAGGAGGAUGGAGAAUACGAUAAAGGAGAAGGCGAAGAGAAAGCACAACCCAGCUAAUUAUCUGCAGAGACGACUUCUCUUCGGGGCAAUGUACACUAUGGUCUCCCAUGUUCUGGAGCACCAAAUUUAAAAUACACACGAAACACCCAAUGUCUUUAAAGAAAUGUUAGACUCACAAAUAAAUAUCACUGUUAAUAUCUCGUCAGCUUCAAUGUUUAAAGUCACUGGGAUAUUUAUGCAACCAAAAAAGACUAAAAAUUACUAAUAUUAUUUCUAAUUUUCAGUUUCAAGUCACACCAGAUAUAUUAAUGACGCAUGUGGCCAUAAAUAUGAAGACAUUUUUGGCAUGUUCAUUAUUAUGUUUUAAAGAGAAAAAUAGUUUCUCGUUGAUCUUGUACGUCGUUAGUCUGCACAUGCCCACCAGGUCAAGCAGAGAACAUUACGCUUUUACCGAAUCAUCGUAAUUUCAAGGUCAUUUCCUUCAGACAGAUGUUUUCCUGCUGUCAGUGCAAUUUUUUAGAAGCUCUGACAAAUUUAAUAAAGACUGUACUUUU